UGGGGAAUUUUGGACAAUGGGCGAAAGCCUGAUCCAGCAAUGCCGCGUGUGUGAAGAAGGCCUUCGGGUUGUAAAGCACUUUUGUCCGGAAAGAAAUCCUUGGCUCUAAUACAGUCGGGGGAUGACGGUACCGGAAGAAUAAGCACCGGCUAACUACGUGCCAGCAGCCGCGGUAAUACGUAGGGUGCAAGCGUUAAUCGGAAUUACUGGGCGUAAAGCGUGCGCAGGCGGUUUGCUAAGACCGAUGUGAAAUCCCCGGGGCUCAACCUGGGAACUGCAUUGGUGACUGGCAGGCUAGAGUAUGGCAGAGGGGGGUAGAAUUCCACGUGUAGCAGUGAAAUGCGUAGAGAUGUGGAGGAAUACCGAUGGCGAAGGCAGCCCCCUGGGCCAAUACUGACGCUCAUGCACGAAAGCGUGGGGAGCAAACAGGAUUAGAUACCCUGGUAGUCCACGCCCUAAACGAUGUCAACUAGUUGUUGGGGAUUCAUUUCCUUAGUAACGUAGCUAACGCGUGAAGUUGACCGCCUGGGGAGUACGGUCGCAAGAUUAAAACUCAAAGGAAUUGACGGGGUCAUAGCUG
rnacentral:rRNA from 1 species